rnacentral:piRNA from 1 species
UACAUUGGUGCCACAUCCUCAGCCAA